CCCUAGACUCUCUCACAGCGUGCAUGCAUGAAGAAACAUAAUUUCUAUAAUGUAAACGAGAUGGAAAAAUAUUUUGAAGUUUUAUCUUAAAGAGUUUUAUAAGAAGUUUUUUUUAUCUAACGGAGAAUUUAGAAUGAUUAAAGUCGCCAGUAUACGUAAACACGUGAGUGAAACUGUUAUGAUUCCAGGUAAUUUUCGAAAUUAUGAAUCUUGAAAUAUUUGAUAUUAUUCUUAAAAACCAAGAUAAGCCUGUCACUUGAGGAGAGGUAGAAUGCAUUUAUGAGUUC